UGUCACCUAUGAGUCACAUCAUUAGCAUUUCUUCUGUUCCAAUAUAAAGGGAUUAAUAGAUCCUGACUAUCACAGAAGGUGAACGUUUUGGCAGUACCACAGAUGUAAACUGGACUGAAUUAAAAGACAUUGAAAAAGUUUUAAACAUUGAAAGCAGAUAGAAAGGGGGACUAUAUAACGUUUCAUCUUAAAUCUUUGGGAUUAAAAGAAGACAAGAUGGAUGUUGUGCGGAUCAUAUCAAUGUUCCUGCUUCUUACAGUAACUACAGUGGCCCCAGCAGAUACAACAGCUGCCCCAGUAGUAACGACAGCUGGCCCAGCAUCAACCACAACUGCCCCAGCAGUGACGACAGCGGCCCCAGAAGUAACAACAGCUGGCCCAGCAUCAACCACAGCUGCCCCAGCAGAUA